ACUGCUGAGGAGUUCCACAAUAGGACGAAACAGCUGUCCAGU
rnacentral:hammerhead_ribozyme from 1 species